rnacentral:rRNA from 1 species
AUUGAACGCUGGCGGCAGGCCUAACACAUGCAAGUCGAGCGGAUGAAGGGAGCUUGCUCCUGGAUUCAGCGGCGGACGGGUGAGUAAUGCCUAGGAAUCUGCCUGGUAGUGGGGGAUAACGUCCGUACACGGGCGCUAAUACCGCAUACGUCCUGAGGGUGAAAGUGGUGGAUCUUCGGACCUCACGCUAUCAGCUGAGCCUAGGUCGGAUUAGCUAGUUGGUGGGGUAAAGGCCUACCAAGGCGACGAUCCGUAACUGGUCUGAGAGGAUGAUCAGUCACACUGGAACUGAGACACGGUCCAGAAUCCUACGGGAGGCAGCAGUAGGGAAUAUUGGACAAUGGGCGAAAGCCUGAUGCAGCCAUGCCGCGUGUGUGAAGAAGGUCUUCGGAUUGUAAAGCACUUUAAGUUGGGAGGAAGGGAAGUAAGUUAAUACCUUGAUGUUUUGACGGUACCAACAGAAUAAGCACCGGCUAACUUCGUG